CAUAAGCUCAUGGAGGUAGUCCCACACGUAAGCAUAUGGAGGCUAUUCCAUGCUUAAGUUCGCAUAGGUUAUCUUAUGCGUAAGCUCAUAGAGGCUAUCCAAUAAUGAGGUUAGUUCAAACCACUUCUUAUCCAUCUGAUUUUACAUGUUAGCCUUGUCAAAUCAAUUCCAAUUAUACAAUGCAUUUCUCACAAUUUCAUGGUAUUUAUAAUCAUUAUUCAUAUAGUCAUGUUUUUAAUAUUUGAUACAUAUAAUAAUCAUACAAGUAUGUUUACACUGGAAACCACAUAAAAUAUAUCAUCUCAUGCAAAACCAUGUCCAUAAAAACAAAUCUCAUUAUGCAACACAACUACUACAAUGCUACCGGUCCAUACUAGUGAUCAGGUUCAGAGAUUCUUACCUCUACCACAAUCCAACACAACUACAAUGCUACUGAUCCAUACAUAACAUGCCCAGUUAAUCAAUAUAGAAUGACUUGCCCUUGAUCAAUCCUUAGCAAUAAUAAUUAAAAUUGUUGCCAAGUUUCUAAUUCAAAAUUCUUGAUGCCUAAGUUACCUUUAUCCCCAAUUUCUCGAUCCUACCUGAUACAUAACUAUUUAAAUUAAAAAAUUAAGAAUUUACCUUGAUUU
rnacentral:lncRNA from 1 species